GCCCUAAGUAGCUCAGUUGGUACAGCAUCAGACUUUUAAUCUGGGGGUCCAGGGUUCAAGUCCCUGUUCAGGCU